GAUUGCCUACGGGAGGCAGCAGUGAGGAAUAUUGGUCAAUGGGCUUACGCCUGAACCAGCCAAGUCGCGUGAGGGAAGACUGCCCUAUGGGUUGUAAACCUCUUUUGUCAGGGAGCAAUUGGCGCUACGUGAAGCGUUAUCGAGAGUACCUGAAGAAAAAGCAUCGGAUAACUCCGUGCCAGCAGCCGCGGUAAUACGGAGGAUGCGAGCGUUAUCCGGAUUUAUUGGGUUUAAAGGGUGCGUAGGCGGAAUGCCAAGUCAGCGGUAAAAUCGCGGGGAUCAACCUCGCUACGCCGUUGAAACGG
rnacentral:rRNA from 1 species